UGGUUGAGCGAAAUAUUGAAGCUAUUUAGGUUGUAAGUUCGAAUCUUAUCACGAGCA
rnacentral:tRNA from 1 species